rnacentral:rRNA from 1 species
UGGGGAAUUUUGGACAAUGGGCGCAAGCCUGAUCCAGCCAUGCCGCGUGCGGGAAGAAGGCCUUCGGGUUGUAAACCGCUUUUGUCAGGGAAGAAAUCUUCUGGGUUAAUACCUCGGGAGGAUGACGGUACCUGAAGAAUAAGCACCGGCUAACUACGUGCCAGCAGCCGCGGUAAUACGUAGGGUGCAAGCGUUAAUCGGAAUUACUGGGCGUAAAGCGUGCGCAGGCGGUUAUGCAAGACAGAUGUGAAAUCCCCGGGCUCAACCUGGGAACUGCAUUUGUGACUGCAUGGCUAGAGUGCGGCAGGGGGGGAUGGAAUUCCGCGUGUAGCAGUGAAAUGCGUAGAUAUGCGGAGGAACACCGAUGGCGAAGGCAAUCCCCUGGGCCUGCACUGACGCUCAUGCACGAAAGCGUGGGGAGCAAACAGGAUUAGAUACCCUGGUAGUCCACGCCCUAAACGAUGUCAACUGGUUGUUGGGAAGGUUCCUUCUCAGUAACGUAGCUAACGCGUGAAGUUGACCGCCUGGGGAGUACGGCCGCAAGGUUG